rnacentral:rRNA from 1 species
AGAAUCAACGCUGGCGGCGUGCCUAACACAUGCAAGUCGAACGAGAAAGUGGAGCAAUCCAUGAGUAAAGUGGCGCACGGGUGAGUAACACGUGACUAACCUACCCUUGAGUGGGGGAUAACCUAGAGAAAUCUGGGCUAAUACCGCAUAAUACCUUCGGGUCAAAGGAGCAAUUCGCUUAAGGAGGGGGUCGCGGCCGAUUAGUUAGUUGGCGGGGUAAUGGCCCACCAAGACUGUGAUCGGUAUCCGGCCUGAGAGGGCGCACGGACACACUGGAACUGAAACACGGUCCAGACUCCUACGGGAGGCAGCAGUGGGAAUUUGCGCAAUGGGGGAAACCCUGACGCAGCAACGCCGCGUGGAGGAUGAAGCCCCUUGGGGCCGUAAACUCCUUUCGAUCGGGAAGAUAAUGACGGUACCGAGAGAAGAAGCCCCGGCUAACUUCGUGCCAGCAGCCGC